rnacentral:rRNA from 1 species
ACGCUCGACACCUACGGGAGGCAGCAGUGGGGAAUAUUGCACAAUGGGGGAAACCCUGAUGCAGCGACGCCGCGUGGAGGAAGAAGGUCUUCGGAUUGUAAACUCCUGUUGUUGGGGAAAAAGAGGGUGGUACCCAACAAGGAAGUGACGGCUAACUACGUGUCAGCAGCCGCGGUAAUCUGAGCGGGCUGGCAAGGC